AGAUUGAACGCUGGCGGCAGGCCUAACACAUGCAAGUCGAGCGGCAGCACGGGUACUUGUACCUGGUGGCGAGCGGCGGACGGGUGAGUAAUGCCUAGGAAUCUGCCUGGUAGUGGGGGAUAACGCUCGGAAACGGACGCUAAUACCGCAUACGUCCUACGGGAGAAAGCAGGGGACCUUCGGGCCUUGCGCUAUCAGAUGAGCCUAGGUCGGAUUAGCUAGUUGGUGAGGUAAUGGCUCACCAAGGCGACGAUCCGUAACUGGUCUGAGAGGAUGAUCGAGUCACACUGGAACUGAGACCACGGUCCAGACUCCGUACGGGAGCAGCAGGUGGGAAUGUUGGACAAGUGGGACGAAAGCCGUAGACUCCGAGCCAUCGCCGCGGUGUGUAGAAGGUAGUCGUUACGGAUUAGUAAA
rnacentral:rRNA from 1 species